GUGUCGCUCUUCAUCUCUAAAAC
rnacentral:siRNA from 1 species